GCUUCCGUGGCGCAAUUGGUUAGCGCGUUCGACUGUUAUCUGGUAGCAAUCGAGAGGUUGGCAGUUCAAUCCUGCCCGGGAGCG